CGUCGUGCCGGUUCUAUCACGAAACUUCGAAAGGUCAUAACUUCUUCGUUAUAACUCAGAUUUUGGCGUUCUUUUUAUGUACAGAAUCCUUGUAACAUAUACUAAAUUGACUAGCCCUGAUCGUACAGGCGUUGCACACUUGUCCACAACUUGCUCGACAAAGUCCUAACCAAUCCAGUCCUGAACGAUAGCCCAAACCCGAAAUGAAAUCAAAAGGCUCAUAUUUAAAUAGGGUCAAAGGUCAUUAUUUAGGGUUUCAUGGCUGAAGGGAGUACGCCCUGUGUACCCCUUGGUAUACUCGGCAUACUCGAAUACCACACACGACUACUCUACUCGGUAUGCCUUUCCUCCAAACUCACAUGGUUGAUCCCUAAAGGUGACUUAUCACGUAAAGUUCACAACUCCACAUACAUACAUGGCUUAAUGGGGCUUAAUAGCUCAAAAAGUGCUUAACAAAUGUAUUAAUACAUGCAUGGGUCCAAAUACUCCAUAAAGUUGACAUUUUAUGAACAUAUGGAUUGAUGGAGCUAAAAUCUAACACCCAUUGCCUCUAGGGUAGAUCAAAAGCUCUCAUUUAACACAAAGGACUCAAAAAGUGCACAAAAUGCUCCUUGAACUAGAUCUAACAUAUAAGAGCAUAAAGAUGUAAUCUUUUUACCUUAAAAAGCUUGCAAAUAUGGAGAUGAUCCUGGAUCCCAAAGCUCAAGCAAUCCCCUCAAGAGUUCCUCUUCUUCUUAUUAUUCACAAACCACCAACAAACACUCUUCAAGCAAUCCCCUCAAUAGUUCCUCUUCUUCUUAUCCUUUGUUAGCUUGGUUACCUCGGCAUUAAUAGCUCUAUUGCGGUCUCCCCCUUGAACCCUCUUACUCUGCUUAACUUCCUUUGUGCUCGGCUUGAUCAUCAGCUUGUUCUCUAUAACUUCUCUUUCGACCCCUACCAUGUCGGUGGCGGCAUUAAUAGCUAUUUCUUCCGAUCACAUGACUUUGAAACAUUGCGGUUCCCUUGGUGGGGUCGCGAGGACUGUGCCUCACCCUUCAGUGGUGCUGAAUUUUAUGAUCUUGUGCAUUGUUAACGGAACUGCUCCAAGCUUGAGUAAGGUUAUCCUUCCCAUAAUUAUGUUAUGCUCUGCGGGAUGUCGUAUUACGACGAAGUCAAUUGGGGUCGUCUUCCUUCGUUACUUGUCGUGGCUUAUCAGCAUGAGAGGCAGGUGAAUUGUGCCCUAAGCGGGCGCGAGCCUUUCUGCAGGGGUGCCCUGCUCUUAGGGGCGUUGAGCUCCGCUGGGUCUGUCUUGUCGAGCGCGCUAAGCCCUCGUGCGUUCUGUCUCCACGGGGCACGGUUCUUUUUGUGCUUGCUAGGGCACGUUAUUAUAUAUAUAUAUAUAUAUAUAUAUAUAUAUAUAUAUAUAUAUAUAUAUUAUGAUUUUUAUUAAAUAACUUAUAGUAAAAUAUAUUUUUAUAGGCUUAAAUAUAUUUUUGCAAAUAAAAUCCAAAGGCAAAUUGAAAUGGGCCUCAUCAUUGCUUUUAAUCCAUUGGACAUUUUACCCUAACGCUACUCAGCACCCACACCCACGCAUCAAAUUCUUCAUUUUCUUUCUUGGUCGUAUUCCCUGUUCUUCCGUCUUGACGACCCUAUCGAUCAACACCCUCGUCCAAAUUAUCGUCAUCUUCACGGUAACUUACUCGAAUCGUCACCGCCUGCCGACUCCUACAAUCGGAAUCGUCAUUAUUUUCACAUCGGAUUGCUUAAAUCGUUGGAAUCGUCGUUAAUGGUAAAAAUCCAACACCUUCUCAAUCUGUGUGAGUUGUGCUGGAGAAUGGAGAUAAAUCACUAUUAUCGGUUCUCAGAAUGUUCGUAAACACCACGAAACCUAAAACGGCGGUCCCCGGUUUCACUUGUUUGCCCAUCCGUUCAUCUGCUGCUACACUACUUCCCUACUUCCACGCCGGCCACCGCCCGACUGUUUGCUCACUAUCACACACACUCUUUCUUAACUAUCUAUCAUAUUUGAAAACAUUUUUUACCGUGGAAAUCAAGUCUGGAUAUUGAAGAUAUCAUUUAUUGUGUGUGCCCCUUCCAUCCCGUUUCUGUAAAUGCAAACUCAAACCCCAUUAUAUGUGUUGUUGAAGAGUAAUCUGGAUGUGAGAAAACCAAAAGACCUGGGAUUACUAGCAAUCGAUUGCUAAAGUAUUUAUUUCGAAGUUCUUGGGCACCACAUCACCUCUGUUCAUCAGAAAUUGGAAUAGAUGGUGCAAGUUAUUCUUCUGAUCUCAAAUUGAACUUAGCCAUUGAAUUUAAGAUGAAGAGUUGGUGAUGUUGACUGUUGAGAAGCCACAACCGGUUUUAGGUUGACAAAGUAGUUUAUUACUUGGUGAUGUUCGUGAUUAUCUCCACAAGUCCUUCUUUGCAAAGGUCCCAAUGGAUUAAGAAGGACCUGAUUGGUUUUGGACACUAUUUUUUAUAAUAUAUAUAGCACUUAUGGGAACACAGGAGCUAAAGCUAAUAAAAUGAAAAAAUAUUAGAAGGAAAAGAUAAGUUAUGCAACACUACAUGGGAUAAAGCAAGAUAAAGCAAGCUAAGGAGCAAUGUUACGAAGAAAACAAUAUAAAAGUUAUUUUUUAGGUUUAAUGUUUGCUUAUACUUUUUUUGUUUUUGAUAAUUUCGGAUUUGUUUUGAUGUAAGAAUUUUGAAUUAUUAUUAAUAAAAAUUU